GACGAACGCUGGCGGCGUGCCUAGCACAUGCAAGUCAACUUGACUGAAGGAGCAAUCUGACAGUAGAGUGGCGCAAGGGUGCGUAACGCGUAAGUAACUUGCCCAAGGUAAGGAAUAACGUCGAGAAAUCGGCGCUAAUACCUCAUAAUACAGCGGAUCCGCAUGGAUAUGUUGUUAAAGGUUUACCGCCUUGGGAUAGGCUUGCGUCUGAUUAGUUAGUUGGUGUGGUAACGGCACACCAAGGCUACGAUCAGUAACUGGUCUGAGAGGAUGAUCAGUCACACUGGAACUGAGACACGGUCCAGACUCCUACGGGAGGCAGCAGUGAGGAAUAUUGGGCAAUGCUCGAAAGAGUGACCCAGCAACGCCGCGUGGAGGAUGAAGGUAUUCUAUAUCGUAAACUCCUGUGAGAGCAGACGCGGUAAU
rnacentral:rRNA from 1 species